UCCUAUUUUCUAGGGUUAGAUCAAACAUACUUCCUUCUCUCUCUCAUUCAGUCGUUUCUUCUUUCACUCUCACCAUUAACACACAAAAUUUGAACCCUAAUCUAAUGGCGUUUUCGCCGCCGCUGCUACCUCCACCACCGUAAAUCUUCUCUUAGAAAUAUGGUUUUGAGAAUCUUCCAUCUAUCAGAUGCAUUUUCCGGAUCUGUGAGACUUGAGAGCUAGACCCUUUAAAUCCUUUGAUUUUAUUCUAGAUCUGUGAGAUUUGAGAGAUCUGUGGUGAUAUUUGAGAGGGCUGGAAAAAUUGUGGUUCAAUUGAAUGGUAGAUUGAAUAAGUGCGGUGUUAUAAGUCCUCGUUUCGAUAUCCGCGUCAAAGGGGUUGAAGGAUGGACUGCAAGGCUGCUUCCCUCAAGACAGUUUGGAUAUAUUGUCUGGACAACCUCUGCUGGUAUCAUGGAUCAUGAAGAGGCAAGGAGAAAGAAUGCUGGUGGUAAAGUGUUGGGUUUUUUCUACUAGGCUAUGAAGAUGGCACCCUAUUUCAGAUUUUGAUGAGCUCAUAAGUUUUUGAGUGUUAGAGAUUUUUUCUUCUUUUGCAUGGUUAUAUAUUAUAAUCUGGCUUUUACUUAGGACCUUA